rnacentral:rRNA from 1 species
UACGUAGGGGGCUAGCGUUGUCCGGAAUCAUUGGGCGUAAAGAGCGCGUAGGCGGCCAGAUAAGUCCGGUGUGAAAGUCACAGGCUCAACCUGUGAAUGCCGCUGGAAACUGUCUGGCUAGAGUCCGGGAGGGGCGAGUGGAAUUCCUGGUGUAGCGGUGAAAUGCGUAGAGAUCAUGAGGAAGACCAGUGGCGAAGGCGGGUCUCUGGACAGUUCCUGACACUGAGACACGAAGGCCAGGGGAGCAAACGGG